CUAAGAAUAUUCCGCAAUGGAGGAAACUCUGACGGAGCGACGCCGCGUGGAUGAGGAAGGCCGGAAGGUUGUAAAAUCCUUUUAAGUAUGAGGAAUAAGUUAUGUAGGAAAUGACAUAAUGGUGACUGUAGUACUUGAAUAAGCAACGGCUAAUUACGUG
rnacentral:rRNA from 1 species